rnacentral:rRNA from 1 species
GAUGAACGCUGGCGGCGUGCCUAAUACAUGCAAGUCGAGCGAACGGACGAGAAGCUUGCUUCUCUGAUGUUAGCGGCGGACGGGUGAGUAACACGUGGAUAACCUACCUAUAAGACUGGGAUAACUUCGGGAAACCGGAGCUAAUACCGGAUGAUAUUUUGAACCGCAUGGUUCAAUAGUGAAAGACGGUCUUGCUGUCACUUAUAGAUGGAUCCGCGCUGCAUUAGCUAGUUGGUAAGGUAACGGCUUACCAAGGCAACGAUGCAUAGCCGACCUGAGAGGGUGAUCGGCCACACUGGAACUGAGACACGGUCCCGACUCCUACGGGAGGCAGCAGUAGGGAAUCUUCCGCGAUGGGCGAAAGCCUGACGGAGCAAAGCCGCGUGAGUGAUGAAGGUCUUCGGAUCGUAAAACUCUGUUAUUAGGGAAGAACAUAUGUGUAAGUAACUGUGCACAUCUUGACGGUACCUAAUCAGAAAGCCACGGCUAACUACGUG